UACGGGGGGGGCAAGCGUUGUUCGGAAUUACUGGGCGUAAAGGGCUCGUAGGUGGUCAACUAAGUCGGACGUGAAAUCCCUCGGCUUAACCGGGGAACUGCGUCCGAUACUGGAUGACUUGAGUUCGGGAGAGGGAUGCGGAAUUCCAGGUGUAGCGGUGAAAUGCGUAGAUAUCUGGAAGAACACCCGUGGCGAAGGCGGCUCUCUGGGACGGUACUGACGCUGAGACGCGAAAGCGUGGGGAGCGAACAGG
rnacentral:rRNA from 1 species